AUGGAGGGAAAACAACAAUGGGACAUAGUGGACCCUAGAUUCAAGCUUUGUGCUCCAGUUCUGAAGAGAGCAGCAAGUAGACCAAGGAAGAGUCGAAUCAGACCACGCAGCAAAGGAGUUGGACUUGGAGCGAGGAAGCGUAAGUGCACAAGGUGUGGUGGGUCUGGUCAUUUCAGUAAGUAUUAUGAUAACACAGUAGAUCCAGCAUUCGGAGAGUGUUUCGAGGAAGGCUUCGAUGAAAAUGUUGGUCAGCAGCCGGUUGCCGCAAUAGAUGAUGAAAAUGAUGGUCAACAACUGGUUGCAUCAGAUGAAGAUUUUGACGAGGUUCCAAAUGAUGAUGGUCAACAACCGCAUGAUUUUGACGAUGAUCCAAAAUAUCCUCCGAAUGAUGAUUCAAGUGAGGCUCCAAAUGGUGAUCCAAGUGAGGAUCCAAAUGGUGACCCAAGUGAGGCUCAAAAUGGUGAUCCAAGUGAGGCUUCAAAUGCUGACCAACCUUCUGUCUUUGUGAGUUCUGCUAGGUAUGUAAAUCUUGCAAAUACUACUGUAUAUUUAUCACUUGACAUGAUCUCAUUACCCUUUAUGUUUUCUACAGCUCCAUGGUAG
rnacentral:rRNA from 1 species